GCAUAUCAAUAAGCGGAGGAAAAGAAACCAACAGGGAUUGCCUUAGUAACGGCGAGUGAAGCGGCAACAGCUCAAAUUUGAAAUCUGGCUCUUUCAGGGUCCGAGUUGUAAUUUGUAGAGGAUGCUUCGGCGUCGGCUCCGGUCUAAGUUCCUUGGAACAGGACGUCAUAGAGGGUGAGAAUCCCGUAUGUGAUCGGUUGCCUUCGCCAUGUGAAGCUCCUUCGACGAGUCGAGUUGUUUGGGAAUGCAGCUCUAAAUGGGAGGUAAAUUUCUUCUAAAGCUAAAUACUGGCCAGAGACCGAUAGCGCACAAGUAGAGUGAUCGAAAGAUGAAAAGCACUUUGGAAAGAGAGUCAAAAAGUACGUGAAAUUGUUGAAAGGGAAGCGCUUGCAACCAGACCUGCCUGCAGUUGCUCAUCCAGGCUUUUGCCUGGUGCACUCUUCUGCUGUCAGGCCAGCAUCAGUUCGGGCGGUCGGAUAAAGGCUUCGGGAAUGUGGCUCCUCUCGGGGAGUGUUAUAGCCCGUUGUGAAAUGCGACCAGCCUGGACUGAGGUCCGCGCUUCGGCUAGGAUGCUGGCGUAAUGGUUGUAAGCGGCCCGUCUUGAAACACGGACCAAGGAGUCUAACAUCUAUGCGAGUGUUUGGGUGUCAAACCCGUGCGCGUAAUGAAAGUGAACGGAGGCGGGAACCUUCGGGUGCACCGUCGACCGAUCCUGAUGUCUUCGGAUGGAUUUGAGUAAGAGCAUAGCUGUUGGGACCCGAAAGAUGGUGAACUAUGCCUGAAUAGGGUGAAGCCAGAGGAAACUCUGGUGGAGGCUCGCAGCGGUUCUGACGUGCAAAUCGAUCGUCAAAUUUGGGCAUAGGGGCGAAAGACUAAUCGAACUAUCUAGUAGCUGGUUCCUGCCGAAGUUUCCCUCAGGAUAGCAGUAACGUUUUCAGUUUUAUGAGGUAAAGCGAAUGAUUAGAGGCCUGGGGGUUGAAACAACCUUCACCUAUUCUCAAACUUUAAAUAUGUAAGAAGUCCUUGUUACUUAGUUGAACGUGGACAUUUGAAUGUAUCGUUACUAGUGGGCCAUUUUUGGUAAGCAGAACUGGCGAUGCGGGAUGAACCGAACGCGAAGUUAAGGUGCCGGAAUGCACGCUCAUCAGACACCACAAAAGGUGUUAGUUCAUCUAGACAGCAGGACGGUGGCCAUGGAAGUCGGAAUCCGCUAAGGAGUGUGUAACAACUCACCUGCCGAAUGAACUAGCCCUGAAAAUGGAUGGCGCUCAAGCGUGCUACCCAUACUUCGCCGCUGGGGCGGAAACUAUGCCCCAGCGAGUAGGCAGGCGUGGAGGCCCGUGACGAAGCCUUGGGGGUGACCCCGGGUAGAACGGCCUCUAUC
rnacentral:rRNA from 1 species